AUGUACUUUUCAGUACAUCUUUUUUCAGAAAUCCACCUUUUUUGUCUAUGCAAACUUCAGUUUCCUUCAAUAUAUGAACCUCAUUGUGAAUUUAAUAUUUAUUUCUGCACACAAUUUUUCGUACACAAAAUUUUCAUCGUGUUACAUAUUUUGAACUUCUUCACAUCUUAUAUUCAAACUUCUUCCUCUUUCUCCUAUAUACACAAAAAGAAAAUAAAACCGCUCAUUAUUUUGACAAAAACACACAUAGAAUGCACCUGCACGCGCACAGAGUUCUUGUUUGCUCAUAGCAAAUCAGAGCGGGAUCAUACACAAACUGAAAAAAAAUAA
rnacentral:rRNA from 1 species